UUUUUUUGUCUGUUUUUUGUUUUUGACCUGGUUGAUUCAGGAAUCAGGAAAAGCCCAAGGAAAAGAUGUUCAGUUUUCUUGUUCUAUGGAACAGCUUCAGGAUCUGGUUGGGAAACUGAAGGAUGCUUGCAAAAGUAUUGAGAGGGCAGCUGUGAACUAAAUUUUACUAUCCCAAGAAUUACUUUAAAGUAGAAGCUGUACCCGCUCAGCUACCAAUAUUUCUAUUAAUAAAUGGACAUUUUCCAGUUACAAUUUUUCAUAUUUUGACAAUGAAAAACAUUACAUUUACACGCUUUG